rnacentral:rRNA from 1 species
GAUGAACGCUAGCGAUAGGCUUAACACAUGCAAGUCGAGGGGCAGCGCGGGUAGCAAUACCUGUCGGCGACCGGCGCACGGGUGAGUAACGCGUAUGUAACCUGCCCGCAACAGGGGGAUAACCCGGCGAAAGUCGGACUAAUACCGCAUAAAACAGGGGUCCCGCAUGGGAAUAUUUGUUAAAGAUUUAUCGGUUGCGGAUGGGCAUGCGUACCAUUAGGUAGUUGGUGAGGUAACGGCUCACCAAGCCUUCGAUGGUUAGGGGUUCUGAGAGGAAGGUCCCCCACACUGGUACUGAGACACGGACCAGACUCCUACGGGAGGCAGCAGUGAGGAAUAUUGGUCAAUGGGCGAGAGCCUGAACCAGCCAAGUCGCGUGAAGGAUGACUGCCCUAUGGGUUGUAAACUUCUUUUACAAGGGAAUAAAAUGAGAUACGUGUAUUUUAUUGCAUGUACCUUGGGAAUAAGCAUCGGCUAACUCCGUG